CUCUUAUUUAGAGAGGUGGAGGGAAGUGCCCAAUGAAGCCCGGCAACCGUCAUAUUUAUAUGGCACGGUGCCAAAUCACACAAAGUAUUUACUUUGGAAGAUGAGAG
rnacentral:ncRNA from 2 species